GCGUGGGCGAUGAAGCUCUGAGGAGUGUAAAGCCCUGUUAGGAGGGAAGAACUUUCCGAUUUAUCGGAAUUGACGGUACCUCCAGAGAAAGCUCCGGCUAACUCCGUGCCAGCAGCCGCGGUAACACGGGGGGAGCAAGCGUUGUCCGGAUUUACUGGGCGUAAAGAGCGUGUAGGCGGGGUGAUCAGUCGAUGGUGAAAUCUCUCGGCUCAACCGAGAAUCUGCUGUCGAUACUGUCAUCCUUGAGUACGGAAGAGGGAAGUGGAAUUCCUGGUGUAGCGGUGAAAUGCGU
rnacentral:rRNA from 1 species